CCUCGCGAUGUAUCUGCCAAAGAGGAUGCCGCUGAGGACGAUGAGGAGCACAGUGGAGGACACGUGUGACCUCCACGACGACGCAGACGAGAUGUCGCCGCAUUGAACUGCAAACAACAACAGGAACAAAUAUAUGAAGUGAGGUUAACCUGCCAAGAGACAGGAUGCCGAUGCGAGGCUCUCGGACAUGAUGCAAGAUGACCCGUCACAGAAAGUUCUCUAUCUCCGGUCGUAGCAGCGGAUGCACUGUAAACGAGGCAAUAACGGCCGACGUCGGUACUCGCCACCAAGUAAGCCGUGUCGUUCUCGAUCCAGGUUCCGUGACACAAAUACUCUGAAAAAGAAAAAAAGAAAAGAAGAAAAGUAAAAAAGGAAAAGAGAAAGAAAGAAAGGAAGAAAGGAAGAAAGGAAGGAAGAAAAGAAACGAGAAAGCGAGACGAGUAGAAAAAAUUAUCGACUUUUUUCUUGCCAAGAUAAAAAGGGGUUGAACGAGGGAUAGAACGAUGAUAAUGAUGAUUAAUUAACGUUGGAUCAUUCGCGGAGACAUGCAUUUCAAAACGUACAAGUUAAAGAGAGCUUCAAAUACGAUUUAAGAAGGUAAAAACAUUCUAACAAUUCGGUUCGCUGCAAAAGGGCGGACGUAUUCGACGACUCGAAAAGAUAGCAAAGUCGUAAAUCGUUCGAUAUGGGUCGUGACAAUUCGAGCGAGUACACCUGAUCGAAGUUGAGACUCUACGAAGGGAAAAUUUACAGCGUGGCUCAUCGAAUCUCUUACUGUCUCUCUCUCUCUCUUUCUCUCUCUCUCUUUCUCUCUCUUUGUUUUUCUUCUUCUCGUUUCUUUCUCUAUUUCGCUCUUUUUUUCAUUCUUUUAUUUUAUCCUUCUAUUUCUAUCGGUACAGCACUCUUUCAGCUUUGUGUACGUAGAAAAUCGGUAUCCGCAUCGUUCGAGAAACUAAUAACGCGGUUCACCUUAUUUCUCUCUCUCUCUCUCUCUCUUUCUUUUUCUUUCUCUUUCUCUUUCUCUUCUUCUUCUCUUUCUUCUUCGGCUUCUUCGUCUUCUUCGUCUUCCUCUACUUCUACUCUUUCCAUCUCGAGAACCGUAAGAAACUUAGAUCGAUAGAAAUGUGCAGCUAGAGUUCUCUCUUCAUGGCUCCCAUCGAGUCUAGAUCCACAUUCGAUUUUAUCCAAGGGUAGAAGCUGUGCGAAGAACAACUUUCGCCAAAGCCGAUAUUUGUUGAACGGUCGAGAGUAGUAGCCGACGUUUUCAUGGACGGGAAAACUCCUCGUAAUUGAAAAGUAGAAGAGCUGGAUGAAAUUUUCAAACUGGACAAACAACAACAACAAACUCGACCGCGUAUCUAUGUAAAAAGGAUAAGAGCAUUUAUGAUGAUGAUAAUAAUAAGGAUCACGAAGACGGAUGAGUCUGAUAAAAAAAAAAAGAAGAAGAAGAAACAAGGUACAUCGAAACUUCCUCGUAACGUUCUCAUAAAGUAAAAUACAUUUGGGAAUUGUUAAAGCGAUUCGAGAAAAGUUUAUUAAAAUGAUCUUUUAAAACGUUGAGAGAAAAGAAAGAAAGAAGGAUACAAAGAUUGGUUUGUUUACAAAAAAAAAAAAAAGAAAAAAAACAAAAAAAAAAGAAAGGAAGAGAAUCUAAAAAUAAUUCGAUCGGAGUUGACACAUAAAAGGAGAACAAACGAGACCAGCCGAAAAAAAUGAAAAAAGAAAAAGAAAGAAAGAAAGAAAAAGAAAAACAGGAAAAUCAGGCUAGCGAAUGAGGAUCAAACGAAGAUUAUCUACAAGAUCUUAGAUCCUUCUCCCUGAUUGUUCGCUUCAAGAAUCGCUUGAAAGAAAAAUGUUGUGUUCUAUUAAUGCGUUAGAGAGAAAGGCGACGAUGUAACGCGAUAACCAUCGUAGUAAGCAAGACGAUUAAAAUUGAUUAACUCGACUUCCCAAGUCGAGUUCCCUUUCUCUCUCCCUCUCUCUCUCUCUCUUUCUAAUUCUCUUUGUUUCUCCAAAGCGCGUACAACGAAGCGACGAAACUAAUUGACCGAUACCCUUUUGGAGUUCGCCUCGACGUGCUUACAACUAAAUAAAGCGAGAACUCUCUUGCGAGGAACGCGCCGACGCGUAGAGCUUAGCGAAGCCGUCACGCCAGCGCCUUUCCUUCGACUAACUAUCGUUGCUCUCUCGAUAACUUUACUUCGAAGUAAGAGUCAAGUCAGAGAGAGAGAGAGAGAGAGAGAGAGAGAGAGAGAGAGAGAGAGAGAGAGAGAGAGAGAGAGAGAGAGAAAGAGAGAGUGAAAGAGAGCGAGAGCGAUAGAUAGAUAGAUAGAUAGAUAGAUAGAGAAAGAGGGUGGUUAUGCUUGAGGGUGAAACGGGUCGGGACAAGGGGUGUGAGCUGGAGCGAGUAAUCCGAUAAGAUGUUCCUGGCGGACGUGUUCCACAGUCAUAGUCGAACUCUUCCUUCUCACUCGAGCUUCUGUGGUGUCUGAUCCAUCCAACCAACGUCGAAGUAAGUACGAGCAAAAGUGUACAAAGAAAAAGGAGAAAGAGAAAAGAGAUUCGAGGAAGGGCGGUAGAUGGAAAGGGAGCUUUCUCCAUCGAUUCCACCGACUCUCAACGUCAUACGUCCUGCGUCGUAAUAUCACCCUUCUUCCUCUUCCUCCUCUCUUUUCCUCUCUCUCUCUCUCUCUCUCCCUUAUCCUCUUUCUCUGAUACCCCUUUCAAUACUCGGCUUGUUAACGUUUACGACGCUCUCAGACAAACCUUCAAACCUACUUCGAUCUUCGGCAAGUAUCUAUAAAGGAUUUUCAUAUUCUUAUCUCUCUUUGAUUAGUAUUUUACGACCGAGGAGUCACGUAAGAGAAUCUUUUGUGUAAACGUUCGAGAAUUCCUUGUAAAUAAUGAUCAAGAAGAAUAGAGAGAGAUGGGGGGAGGGAGGGGGACAAGAGAUUGUUGAUGGUUUGUUCCACUCGACGAUAUAUUUAAUUAAGAAAAUAUCUUAGAGUUAAUUGCUCGUGUAAACCCUGCUAACGAAGAUUAAUGCGAAGGAUAGAGAAUAGUAAAGGAUCUUACCGGAU